rnacentral:rRNA from 1 species
UACAGGGGGUGCAAACGUUGCUCGGAAUCAUUGGGCGUAAAGCGCACGUAGGCGGUUCGUUAUGUCGGAUGUGAAAGCCCUUGGCUUAACCGAGGAAGUGCAUCCGAAACUGGCGAGCUAGAGUACUAAAGAGGAUCGCGGAAUUCCCGGUGUAGAGGUGAAAUUCGUAGAUAUUGGGAAGAACACCGGUGGCGAAGGCGGCUCUCUGGACCGAUACUGACGCUGAGGCGCGAAAGCGUGGGGAGCAAACAGG